GAAAGAUUCAUCGGAAGAGGAUGGGCAUGCGGCGCAUUAGCUAGACGGCGGGGUAACGGCCCACCGUGGCGACGAUGCGUAGGGGUUCUGAGAGGAAGGUCCCCCACACUGGUACUGAGACACGGACCAGACUCCUACGGGAGGCAGCAGUGAGGAAUAUUGGUCAAUGGGAGAGAUCCUGAACCAGCCAAGCCGCGUGAGGGAAGACGGCCCUAUGGGUUGUAAACCUCUUUUGUCGGAGAACAAAACCCGGGACGUGUCCCGGACUGCGUGUAUCCGAAGAAAAAGCAUCGGCUAACUCCGUGCCAGCAGCCGCGGUGAUACGGAGGAUGCGAGCGUUAUCCGGAUUUAUUGGGUUUAAAGGGUGCGUAGGCGGUCCGUUAAGUCAGCGGUAAAAUUGCGGGGCUCAACCCCGUCAAGCCGUUGAAACUGGCAGACUUGAGUUGGCGAGAAGUACGCGGAAUGCGCGGUGUAGCGGUGAAAUGCAUAGAUAUCGCGCAGAACUCCGAUUGCGAAGGCAGCGUACCGGCGCCAGACUGACGCUGAGGCACGAAAGCGUGGGGAUCGAACAGGAUUAGAUACCCUGGUAGUCCACGCAGUAAACGAUGAAUGCUGGUUGUCCGGGUCGAAUGAGAUCUGG
rnacentral:rRNA from 1 species